AUUGAACGCUGGCGGUAGGCUUAACACAUGCAAGUCGAGCGGUAACAGAAAGUAGCUUGCUACUUUGCUGACGAGCGGCGGACGGGUGAGUAAUGCCUAGGAAAUUGCCUUGAUGUGGGGGAUGACCAUUGGAAACGAUGGCUAAUACCGCAUAAUGCCUACGGGCCAAAGAGGGGGAUCUUCGGACCUCUCGCGUCAAGAUAUGCCUAGGUGGGAUUAGCUAGUUGGUGAGGUAAUGGCUCACCAAGGCGACGAUCCCUAGCUGGUCUGAGAGGAUGAUCAGCCACACUGGAACUGAGACACGGUCCAG
rnacentral:rRNA from 1 species